CGCUGGGGCCAAAAGGCAGAAACCUGCCAUGUGCUGGGCACAGACGGCGAGGGCUUUGUCCAGCUGGGCUGGCACGGCACCGAGGGAGGGGGAUGGCACCCCCUGGGUGCUACCGGCCCCUGGUGGGGGACGCUCCCGUGCCUUUCUUCUGUAGAUUUAGCCCAGCAGGCGAGCUGUGCCCAGAGAGAGGAGGAGAGCCUCCGCUAUGUGCAGCAGUCUUUGCGAGGUAGGAGAGCUUCCAGGCAGGUUCCUGGGCUCCCUGCCCUCGUGGCACCCCAGCUGCCCCCUGUCACCGCGGUGCCGAGGGCUGGGGACAGCCCCGUCCCGGCCAGCCCUGCAGGAUCGUGCUUCUGGUGUGCAGAGAGCUGCCAGUUCUGCCCGGCCGGAUGGAUCGGGGACGCGGGGCGCUGCUACUACUUCUCCUCUGCCAAGAAGAGCUGGGAGCAGAGCAAAGACGACUGCUGCUCCAGGGGGGCGCAGCUGGUCACCGUCCGAGCCAACAGCACCCUGGCUUUCCUGGCACGCGUGACCCAUCUGGACGUCUUCCACGUGGGGCUGAAGCGGGACAGCUCCAGGUUUGAGUGGAAGUGGCUGGACGGCACCCUGCUGAAGGGGCGCCUCCUCCUCCAGCGUUCCAGCAGCUCCUACGUGGCCUGCGGCAGGGUGUCCGGCUCGGGGCUCUCGGCCGGCUCGUGCGGAGAAGCCCACGGCUGGGUCUGCGAGAAGAGCGCGGUCACCCUGCAGUGGCUCCGGUCCUCCAUCCCCGCCUUCCUCUGGGGGAACACCACCUACACCUGCGUGGGGCCCUAGGACCGAGGGGACAGCCUGGGUGCUCCUACAGCCCUGCCUGACCCAAGCACGGGCACCCCGGGGUGCUGCCUCCUGACCCCUCUGCGUCCCUCCCCCUGGCAUCUCUGCGCGUUGCCAAUAAACUCUGGCACUCACGCUGUGGCUGGAUUUNN
rnacentral:lncRNA from 1 species